CGCCUGUUUAUUAAAAACAUAGUUUUUAAAUAAAUUUUUUAAAAAUUUAAUCUGCCCAUUGAAAUUGUUUUUUAAAAGGCCGCAGUAUUUUGACUGUGCUAAGGUAGCAUAAUCAUUAGUUUUAUAAUUUAAAUCUAGAAUGAAUGAUUUUAUAAAAAAUAAUCUUUUUUAUUUAUAAUAAUAAAAUUUAAUAAUUAAGUUAAAAAGCUUAAUAUUUUUUAAAAGACGAGAAGACCCUAUAGAAUUUUAUUAAUUUAAAAUAAAUUAUUUUUUAUUUUAUUUAAUUUUAUUGGGGAGAUAAAAAAAAUUAUUUAACUUUUAUUAUUAUUUCAAUAAUUUUUGUUUUUUUUUUGAUCUUAUAUUAUGGAUUAUGAAAUUAAAUUACCUUAGGGAUAACAGCAUAAUUUUUUAAAAAAGUUCUUAUUUUUUAAAAUGUUUAUGACCUCGAUGUUGGAUUAAAAAUUUAUAAAUUGAAGAAAAUUUAUUUUAAU
rnacentral:rRNA from 1 species